UAGGGAAUCUUCCACAAUGGACGCAAGUCUGAUGGAGCAACGCCGCGUGAGUGAAGAAGGUUUUCGGAUCGUAAAGCUCUGUUGUUGGUGAAGAAGGAUAGAGGCAGUAACUGGUCUUUAUUUGACGGUAAUCAACCAGAAAGUCACGGCUAACUACGUGCCAGCAGCCGCGGUAAUACGUAGGUGGCAAGCGUUGUCCGGAUUUAUUGGGGGUAAAGCGAGCGCAGGCGGAAUGAUAAGUCUGAUGUGAAAGCCCACGGCUCAACCGUGGAACUGCAUCGGAAACUGUCAUUCUUGAGUGCAGAAGAGGAGAGUGGAAUUCCAUGUGUAGCGGUGGAAUGCGUAGAUAUAUGGAAGAACACCAGUGGCGAAGGCGGCUCUCUGGUCUGCAACUGACGCUGAGGCUCGAAAGCAUGGGUAGCGAACAGG
rnacentral:rRNA from 1 species